rnacentral:rRNA from 1 species
UCGUGAGACAGUUCGGUCCCUAUCUGCCGUGGGCGUUGGAGAAUUGAAGGGGGCUGCUCCUAGUACGAGAGGACCGGAGUGGACGAACCUCUGGUGUUCGGGUUGUCACGCCAGUGGCAUUGCCCGGUAGCUAAGUUCGGAAUUGAUAAGCGCUGAAAGCAUCUAAGCGCGAAGCGAGCCCUGAGAUGAGUUCUCCCUGGCACUAUAAGUGUCCUAAAGGGUUGUUCGAGACUAGAACGUUGAUAGGCAGGGUGUGUAAGCGCUGUGAGGCGUUGAGCUAACCUGUACUAAUUGCCCGUGAGGCUUAACCAUACAACACCCAAGGGGUUU